rnacentral:rRNA from 1 species
UACAGAGGGUGCAAGCGUUGCUCGGAAUUAUUGGGCGUAAAGGGUAGGUAGGUGGUCUCAUUUGUCGGGGGUGAAAGCCUUGGGCUUAACCCAAGAAGUGCCUUCGAAACGGUGAGACUAGAGUUCUGGAGAGGGUCGUGGAAUUCCCGGUGUAGCGGUGAAAUGCGUAGAGAUCGGGAGGACACCAGAGGCGAAGGCGGCGACCUGGACAGAUACUGACACUCAACUACGAAAGCGUGGGGAGCAAACAGG